GACGAACGCUGGCGGCGUGCCUAAUACAUGCAAGUUGAGCGCUGAAGGUUGGUACUUGUACCAACUGGAUGAGCAGCGAACGGGUGAGUAACGCGUGGUGAAUCUGCCUUUGAGCGGGGGACAACAUUUGGAAACGAAUGCUAAUACCGCAUAAAAACUUUAAACACAAGUUUUAAGUUUGAAAGAUGCAAUUGCAUCACUCAAAGAUGAUCCCGCGUUGUAUUAGCUAGUUGGUGAGGUAAGGGCUCACCAAGGCGAUGAUACAUAGCCGACCUGAGAGGGUGAUCGGCCACAUUGGGACUGAGACACGGCCCAAACUCCUACGGGAGGCAGCAGUAGGGAAUCUUAGGCAAUGGACGAAAGUCUGACCGAGCAACGCCGCGUGAGUGAAGAAGGUUUUCGGCUCGUAAAACUCUGUUGGUAGAGAAGAACGUGGGUGAGAGUGGAAAGCUCAUCAAGUGACGGUAACUACCCAGAAAGGGACGGCUAACUACGU
rnacentral:rRNA from 1 species